GUGGCAAACGGGUGAGUAACACGUGGGUGACCUGCCUUCGAGUGGGGGAUAACCUUCCGAAAGGAGGGCUAAUACCGCAUGACAUACCGUGUUUGGAUACACGGAUAUCAAAGCCGGAGAUCGCAAGACCUGGCGCUUGGAGAGGGGCCCGCGUCCGAUUAGCUAGUUGGUGAGGUAACGGCUCACCAAGGCUCCGAUCGGUAUCCGGCCUGAGAGGGCGGACGGACACACUGGAACUGAGACACGGUCCAGACUCCUACGGGAGGCAGCAGUGGGGAAUUGUUCGCAAUGGGCGAAAGCCUGACGACGCAACGCCGCGUGGAGGAUGAAGAAUUUCGGUUCGUAAACUCCUUUCGACCGAGAUGAAUAUCCCGCGAUCUAAUAACUCGCGGGACUGACAGUAUCGAGAGAAGAAGCCCCGGCUAACUCUGUGCCAGCAGCCGCGGUAAUACAGGGGGGGCAAGCGUUGUUCGGAAUUACUGGGCGUAAAGGGUUCGUAGGUGGCCACUUAAGUCAGACGUGAAAUCCCUCAGCUUAACUGGGGAACUGCGUCUGAUACUGAGUGGCUUGAGUGCAGGAGAGGAAUGCGGAAUUCCAGGUGUAGCGGUGAAAUGCGUAGAUAUCUGGAGGAACACCGGUGGCGAAGGCGGCAUUCUGGACUGUAACUGACACUG
rnacentral:rRNA from 1 species